AAAAUUGGCUAUUCUGGGGCGUGGCUAGGCUGCCGAAGGAGAUGGCCGCUUGAGUGAAGGGCUCCUGCACCUCAGCGACUGUAACCUUGCUAGCCCGUCUUAAUCCAGCACACAGCAGCAU